rnacentral:rRNA from 1 species
GAGCAGUGGGGAAUCUUAGACAAUGGGCGCAAGCCUGAUCUAGCCAUGCCGCGUGAGUGACGAAGGCCUUAGGGUCGUAAAGCUCUUUCGCUGGGGAAGAUAAUGACUGUACCCAGUAAAGAAGUCCCGGCUAACUCCGUGCCAGCAGCCGCGGUAAUACGGAGGGGACUAGCGUUGUUCGGAAUUACUGGGCGUAAAGCGCGCGUAGGCGGAUUAGCCAGUCAGAGGUGAAAUCCCAGGGCUCAACCCUGGAACUGCCUUUGAUACUGCUAGUCUUGAGUUCGAGAGAGGUGAGUGGAAUUGCGAGUGUAGAGGUGAAAUUCGUAGAUAUUCGCAGGAACACCAGUGGCGAAGGCGGCUCACUGGCUCGAUACUGACGCUGAGGUGCGAAAGUGUGGGGAGCAAACAGGAUUAGAUACCCUGGUAGUCCACACCGUAAACGAUGAAUGCCAGACGUCGGCAAGCAUGCUUGUCGGUGUCACACCUAACGGAUUAAGCAUUCCGCCUGGGGAGUACGGUCGCAAGAUUAAAACUCAAAUG